UACGUAGGGUGCGAGCGUUGUCCGGAAUUAUUGGGCGUAAAGGGCUCGUAGGCGGUUUGUCGCGUCGGGAGUGAAAUCCACUGGCUUAACUGGUGGCUUGCUUUCGAUACGGGCAGACUGGAGGCAUGCAGGGGAGAACGGAAUUCCUGGUGUAGCGGUGGAAAUGCGCAGAUAUCGGGAGGAACACCAAGUGGCGAAGGCGACUAUCUGGGCUGCAACUGACGCUGAGGCGCGAAGGCUAGGGUAGCAAACAGG
rnacentral:rRNA from 1 species